rnacentral:rRNA from 1 species
UACGAAGGGGGGUUAGCGUUGUUCGGAAUUACUGGGCGUAAAGCGCACGUAGGCGGAUACUUAAGUCAGGGGUGAAAUCCCGGGGGCUCAACCCCGGAACUGCCUUUGAUACUGGGGUAUCUCGAGUCCGGAAGAGGUGAGUGGAAUUCCGAGUGUAGAGGUGAAAUUCGUAGAUAUUCGGAGGAACACCAGUGGCGAAGGCGGCUCACUGGUCCGGUACUGACGCUGAGGUGCGAAAAGCGUGGGGAGCAAACAGG